GACGGAGGAUGCAAGCGUUAUCCGGAAUUAUUGGGCGUAAAGCGUCCGCAGGCGGCCUAUCAAGUCUGCUGUCAAAGACCGGGGCUUAACCCCGGAAAGGCAGUGGAAACUGAAAGGCUAGAGGAUGGUAGAGGCAGAGGGAAUUCCCAGUGUAGCGGUGAAAUGCGUAGAGAUUGGGAAGAACACCGGUGGCUAAAGCGCUCUGCUGGGCCAUAACUGACACUCAGGGACGAAAGCUAGGGGAGCGAAUGGG
rnacentral:rRNA from 1 species